rnacentral:rRNA from 1 species
UACGGAGGGUCCCAAGCGUUAUCCGGAUUUAUUGGGUUUAAAGGGUCCGCAGGCGGGAAAAUAAGUCAGUGGUGAAAUCCUACAGCUUAACUGUAGAACUGCCAUUGAUACUGAUGGUCUUGAGUACACUUGAAGUGGGCGGAAUGUGUCAUGUAGCGGUGAAAUGCUUAGAUAUGACACAGAACACCGAUUGCGAAGGCAGCUCACUAAAUUGUAACUGACGCUGAGGCACGAAAGCGUGGGGAUCAAACAGGAUUAGAAACCCCUGUAGU